AUUCUACUCCCUCUGUUGCACAAUACAUGCCUUCUACUUGUCAAAAUAUAUAUGUAUAUAGACAUGUUUUAGUAUAUAGGUACAUCCAUUUUUGGACAAAUGGAAGUCAAGUAUUUUGGAACGGAGGGAGUACACA
rnacentral:pre_miRNA from 1 species